rnacentral:lncRNA from 1 species
UCAACGUUUCAAAAGCUUUACAUGAGGUAAGACUUCAAAUUUUCAUUGUUUUAUUGAUUUCAACGAUAUCGACAUGCAUAUAGCUGCGUUAUGAAUGAUAUCCAUUAAAAACAAAUAUGAUUGAUGAUGAGAAUCACACACCUAAUAAACCUUAGCCACAUUAGAUUUCAAAGAUCCCUUGAUUUUAAAAGCAACGUAACAACCUAAUCUCUUCCUCUAAUUCAAUGAUUAAGUAACUAAAUCCAUUCCCAUGAUUUGAUCAAAGAAAAAGAAGAGGAAUCAUGACACACCUCGACCUAGAUCGAGGCAUGCUAGCUGUCACGUGAGGGUAACAUAGCAAUGUGCACAGUGCGAAAGCAAUAAUGAUAUAUAGAAAUGCGAAUAAAUAAAACCGAACCAACUAAAGCACUAGAUACGGUAAGGUGCAAGACGAGAAUAUGUGUGACUACACAUAAUCAAAGCAUAAGUAGCCUAAGUGCAGUCCAACAGGAUAAAGAUGGUCCUACACUAGUGAUAAUCUGUCAGAGUUGCCUUGAAUUCCUCGUGAGCCACCAACAAGCACUCCUACCUAAAACCUGGAGAGGCGCAAAACAGAAAGUGUGAGUGGGCAAAAACAAAGCUUUUCAAAACCAUUUCAUUUAUCAAAAGUUCUAACCCCUCACCGUAAAACCUAUAUAAAUUCCCAGAAAAUAGAAUAUAUAGACAUAUCUCAAAACUAUGCUCAGAAUAGUGGAAAUCAUAGUAUACCAUGCCAUAUAUCUCAAAGUAACAAAAUAAGUAACUCAAGUGAAAUAAUCUCAUGAAAUAUAACAUAUCAGCCGGAUCCAUCUAAAGUGGCCUGUACGGCUGAAUCUAUAGCUCAACAAGUAUGCCUGCACACGAGUUGGAACCACCUAAUGUGGUUUGUACGAUAGGACUGGGUGUAAAUAAAUACGCUCUAGUGCUACGAUCACGUGAAGACUGUGCGAAUAAUCGCAGGUCACCUACAAGUCGAAACCACCUAUAGUGGUCUGUACGACAAGAUUAUGCACCUAACUUGGAUCCAAGGUGAGCGUAUGGUGUGGGAGGUGAAUGAUGAGUAGAUUUUAUAUUAUAUAUUUUACCCUAACCUUAGUAUAUUUUGGUUAAUAUAUUGGAAGAAUUUUGAUACUUUGAAUUGUAUUUUCAAUAUAGGACUUCCGACUUCCUCUGGAGCAAAACAGGAUCAAAUGGACGAAUUUUGGAGUAAUUCCAGUUGGAGGACGUUCGUGAGUCACUUAGCUUGAUCGUAUCAAAAUUUGGGAUUUUUCCACAAAGCGGUUAUUUUCUGGCGAUGAAAUAAAGAAGCAGUGCGCAGUGCUGG